AAAAAGUCCCGCCUGCCCACUGAGGGUUAAAGGGCUGCGGUAAUUUGACCGUGCGAAGGUAGCAUAAUCAAUAGUCUUUUAAUUGAAGACUGGAAUGAACGGCGCCACGAGAAAUAAGCUGUCUUGCUUGUAUAAGUUGAAUUUUACUUUUAAGUGAAAAGGCUUAAAUAUUAUUAAGUGACGAUAAGACCCUAUAAAACUUAACAUGGUUAGGUAUUUCUGAGGUUAAAUAGGAGGCAAAAUUUCUUUAAGCCUGUUUGGUUGGGGCGACCUAGAUAUAAUAAGUAGCUGUUUAAAAAUAUAAAUAAUUAUAAUUUGUGAUAUGAACCUUUAAUAAGGAUUAAGAAAUUAAGUUACUUUAGGGAUAACAGCGCAAUUUUCUCAGAGAGCUCUUAUCGAAGAGACUAGUUGCGACCUCGAUGUUGAAUUAAAAUUUCUUUUAAAUGUAGCAGUUUAAUAAGUGGGUCUGUUCGACCUU
rnacentral:rRNA from 1 species